rnacentral:rRNA from 1 species
CCCCUAGAUGUUCUGGGCUGCACACGCGCUACACUGAAGGGAUCAGCGUGUUCUUUUCCUGGUCCGAAAGGAUCGGGUAACCCGCUGAACCCCCUUCGUGGUAGGGAUCGGAGCUUGCAAUUAUUCUCCGUGAACCAGGAAUUCCCAGUAAGCGCAAGUCAUAAGCUUGCGUUGAUUACGUCCCUGCCCUUUGUACACACCGCCCGUCGCUACUACCGAUUGGACGUUUUAGUGAGGAUUUUGGACUGAGCCAAUGGUGGUUCACACCACUGUUGUGCAUGGAAAGAUCUCCAAACUUGAGCGUUUAGAGGAAGUAAAANUCGUAACA